CAUGUUUUAUAUGUUCACAUAUGGAUUUUACAGACUGCUGUGGUUGAUUUUUCUAUCUACUGUGUAAAGCCUUAUUUUAAGAUCUUCCCUUUGUGAGUUCAGCUAGACAGGUAUAUUUGUUUUCUAAUUUUUCCUUUGUUCUAUGGUUUCGAAUUUGGUGUCUGGCUCUUGAGGCCGCCUCUGAUAAAGACAAAAACUUGACAUAAUAAUUUUAUAUAGGUGAAUGUUGGGGUAAGUGAUAUAGUGAAUAAAGGAACAUUUCGACUACAUUAUUUUUCCCUUUCCAUUAAUUGUUAGUAGACUAUUUAAAAUUUUACAAGCAUUAGGUAAGGUGAGACACUGUUUCAGUGAUAUGCAUAUUGUUGUUUUUGAUUGCUUACUUCUGCAAGUUACUUACUUUAUUAUCUGUUAUUCAAGUCUUCUACUGAGCUAUAAGUUCAUUCAUUGGUUUGUUUUGUACCAUAUGACGCCAUUUACUCUCCACCUUCCCCGAUUUACUGAAACAGAAUCUACCAUAAUAGAUUAACAGCUUCCCUUCGAUGCUAUUACAAAAGAAACUACAGCUUGGAGAUGUAAGGUUCAGGUCGUCGAUAAGUUUUGGCCUCAUGAAAGCAAAUAUCAGAGUGUGCAAUUUCAAACGAUGAUUGUGCAAGAUGAAAGUGCCUAAGAUUUUCUCUAUGCCACCUGAAUACAGGAACAAAAGGUUGCUAUAGUACUCUAUGGCGAUGAUAUUCCAAAGUAUGAGAGGCUAUUUGCACCUUUAAAAACAUAUCUGGUUUCCUGCAUAAAAGUUAGAGACCCCCGCAGCUACUCAAUACGCACCGGUGUUUAUAAAUGGGUGGUCGACAGACACACAGUUGUUGAACCUGUCACCAAUAAUAGUAGGACGGAAGUGCCCCUGAUUUCUCCAACAAAGUUGAACACAGUUUCUUUUCUAGCUAUCGACCGUCUACGCCCAGGUGUUGAAUUUGACUUAUUCGCAGUAGUAGCCAAUCGUAGCGCGCUGCAAUAUACCACCAACCAAAGUAAGCAUUUUCGGGAGGCAAUUGUCAUAGAUCAGAGGAUGAUUUGGCAGACAACGAGGGUGCUAUGCUACUACAACACUUGCAUAAGCACCCUGUUAUUCUUGCUAAACGUAUUGGAGUUACUGAAUUCCGUGGUGCUAUAAGAUUAGCCACAAGGUAUCAGUCAACGAUCAUACUCAAUCCUAAGUACAUGCAGGCUGCUACAUUGAUGAAGUGGGUAAAGGACAAUGAGCAAAUAUUGAUAUUGUACAUUUUACGAAGCUCAUUAGCAUCAACUUCUUCCCUGACUCUUGCACCAAUUGAAGAUGAGGUUUUCCCUAUAUCCACAAUUUUAGACUUGUCAUCCCAAGUGCAUACUUUCCCUGUGGAAGGAAAAAUAUCACUUCUUGAUCGUCCCUAGUUCUUUUACUUGCUCGCCUUCUCACAUUACAAUCUCUUUGUACACAUAAAGACAAAAAAGCUGGUGCAUUGCUUCAACUGUAAGCUAGAACGAAUGUUGGUCCCCAGAUGCCACUUUGAGGUUAACAUUAUGGACAAUAGUGAUACAAUUACCGCAACAGUGUCAGAAACGGUGGCAGAGACAAUGCUAUCCCUUACUGCCGAACAAAUAUAUCAAAAUGUUGCUGCCCAGAGAGAACCGUUGUCUAUUGUCCGUACAAAUCAACAGCUUGCUCAUAAACUUUUUAGACUCCAGCUACAAAAGCCAAGCUAUAAAUUUCCCGAUCAAACACUUGGUAUGUUGGCUGCUAUAUCCUUCACUUAAGCAGAAAACCCGGCUUUUCAAACAUUACCUUCACCAAUGGCUCCUAGAGAAACAGGUAAGAAGCAAAAAGUCGAACCGAUCACUCCAACAAAAAAGGCUUAAAGGUAACAAUACUUUCAGUAAUUUCUUUGCUAUUAUACCAUACCUCCAUUUUAACUUAUUGCAUGGAACACUUUCAUUACGAAACAUCUUCAGUAUAACUCUCAACUAAAAUAAAAGAGUACCUUGUUGUUCUAUUAAUAGUCAAGUUUAUCUGCAAUAUCUCAAUGAGUUACUUGUGACGAUCAUUAAUGAUAUGGUACAAAUAUUGCUUCAUCAACUAUUUCGAAGUUUGGUGUUGGGGCAAAAUUUGUUUCCGCUAUGUUUUAUCUCUGACAUUUACAGCAUGUCAACCACAAAAGGCCGGUAAAUGUAAUGCUUUCCUUCAUUGCUUCUUUCUAUUCACUACAAUCACAAUUAAUUUACCUCUUCCUUUUUGUUUGAACAGGUAAAUAGAACAAUCCUGCACCCCUUCAUUACUGACAAAAUACAGUAUUUUUCCUUCGCCUACUUAAAUUAUCUCUAUAGGUAACAAGUGCGCAAAGUUAGCUGCAACCAAGGCUGCCUACCUCCACCAAUGCCAUACAGGUAGCCACAUCAACAGGCUUUUUCAUUUUAAUGUGACAAACCUACAUGUCAAUAGUUUUUGUAUAAAUGGCUUGAAAAGUAGUAUCAACUUUCUCUUAGUGUUAUGUAUCGAUUUUCUUUUCAACAUUUAUUAUUGCAAUCUUGUAUUAACUUGCAACA